rnacentral:rRNA from 1 species
AUUGAACGCUGGCGGCAGGCCUAACACAUGCAAGUCGAGCGGAGCGGCCGACGGGCGAGUAAUGCCUAGGAAUCUGCCUGGCAGAGGGGGAUAACGUCCGGAAACGGGCGCUAAUACCGCAUACUAUCAGAUGAGCCUAUGUCGGAUUAGCUAGUUGGUGGGGUAAGGGCCUACCAAGGCGACGAUCCGUAACUGGUCUGAGAGGAUGAUCAGUCACACUGGAACUGAUACACGGUCCAGACUCCUACGGGAGGCAGCAGUGGGGAAUAUUGGACAAUGGGCGAAAGCCUGAUCCAGCCAUGCCGCGUGUGUGAAGAAGGUCUUCGGAUUGUAAAGCACUUUAAGUAGGGAGGCGUUACCAACAGAAUAAGCACCGGCUAACUUCGUGCCAGCAGCCGCGGUAAUAC